rnacentral:rRNA from 1 species
UACGGAGGGUGCAAGCGUUAUCCGGAUUUACUGGGUUUAAAGGGUGCGUAGGUGGGCAAGAAAGUCAGUGGUGAAAUCUCCGGGCUUAACCCGGAAACUGACCAUUGAUACUAUUUGUCUUGGAAUACUUUGGAGGUUAAGCGGAAUAUGUCAUGUAGCGGUGAAAUGACUUAGAUAUGACAUAGAACACCAAUUGCGCAGGCAGCUUACUACACAGUAAUUGACACUGAGGCACGAAAGCGUGGGGUCAAACAGG